CCUACGGGUGGCAGCAGUGAGGAAUAUUGGUCAAUGGACGCAAGUCUGAACCAGCCAUGCCGCGUGCAGGAAGACGGCUCUAUGAGUUGUAAACUGCUUUUGUACGAGGGUAAACUCAGAUACGCGUAUCUGUCUGAAAGUAUCGUACGAAUAAGGAUCGGCUAACUCCGUGCCAGCAGCCGCGGUAAUACGGAGGAUUCAAGCGUUAUCCGGAUUUAUUGGGUUUAAAGGGUGCGUAGGCGGGCGGAUAAGUUAGAGGUGAAAUCCCGAGGCUCAACUUCGGAAUUGCCUCUGAUACUGUUAGGCUAGAGAGCAGUUGCGGUAGGCGGAAUGUAUGGUGUAGCGGUGAAAUGCUUAGAGAUCAUACAGAACACCGAUUGCGAAGGCAGCUAACUAAGCUACGUCUGACGUUGAGGCACGAAAGCGUGGGGAGCAAACAGGAUUAGAUACCCGGGUAGUC
rnacentral:rRNA from 1 species